rnacentral:rRNA from 1 species
CUCUUUUUGAUAUUAAUUUAAAGUAGGGCCUGCCCACUGAAUUUUUGAAGGGCCGCAGUAUUUUGACUGUGCAAAGGUAGCAUAAUCAUUAGUUUUUUAAUUGAAAGCUUGUAUGAAUGGUUUGAUGAGAAAAUUACUGUCUCAGUUUUAUUUUUUUAGAAUUUUAUUUUUAAGUAAAAAAGCUUAAAUUUAUUUUAAAGACGAGAAGACCCUAUAGAGUUUAAUUUCAAUUUAAUUUUUAAAAUUUUAGUAUUAAAAAUUUUUAAUUUUAAUUGAAAUUGUGUUGGGGUGACAAAAAAAUUAAAUUAACUUUUUUUUUAUUUUAACAUAAAUUAAUGAAUUUUUGAUCCAUAAAAAUGAUUAUAAGAUUAAAUUACCUUAGGGAUAACAGCGUAAUUUUUUUUGAAAGUUCUUAUUGAAAAAAAAGAUUGCGACCUCGAUGUUGGAUUAAAAUUAAUUUUUGGUGUAGAAGCUAGAAAUUUAGGUCUGUUCGACCUUUAAAAUUUUACAUGAUCUGAGUUUAAACCGGUGUAAGCCAGGUUGGUUUCUAUCUUGAUUAAAAGAAAAUAUUUUAGUACGAAAGGAUCAAAUAUUUUAUUAAAAAUAUAUUUAAUGAAUAAAAUUUUUAUUUUGGCAGAAUAGUGCGAAGGAUUUAGAAUCUUUAAAUGUAAUUUAUUACAAAUAAUAAUUGAUUUAAUUUUAAUUUUAAUUAAUUUUUUUCUUUUAAUUUUAGGAGUAUUAGUAGGAGUAGCUUUUUUAACUUUAUUAGAACGUAAGUUAUU